UACGGAGGUGGCAAGCGUUGCUCGGAAUCACUGGGCGUAAAGGGCGCGUAGGCGGGGAGGUAAGUCGGGUGUGAAAUCCCUCGGCCCAACCGAGGAACUGCGCCCGAGACUGCUUCUCUUGAGUCCCGGAGAGGAAGAUGGAAUUCCCGGUGUAGCGGUGAAAUGCGCAGAUAUCAGGAGGAACACCUAUUGCGAAGGCAGCUCGCUGGGACGUAACUGACGCUGAGACGCGAAAGCGUGGGGAGCAAACAGG
rnacentral:rRNA from 1 species